rnacentral:rRNA from 1 species
UACGUAGGGUGCAAGCGUUAAUCGGAAUUACUGGGCGUAAAGCGUGCGCAGGCGGUUCUGUAAGUCUGUCGUGAAAUCCCCGGGCUCAACCUGGGAAUUGCGUUGGAGACUGCAAGGCUGGAGUCUGGCAGAGGGGGGUAGAAUUCCACGUGUAGCAGUGAAAUGCGUAGAUAUGCGGAGGAACACCGAUGGCGAAGGCAAUCCCCUGGGCCUGCACUGACGCUCAUGCACGAAAGCCGUGGGGAGCAAACAGG